rnacentral:rRNA from 1 species
AGAGUUUGAUCAUGGCUCAGGAUGAACGCUGGCGGCGUGCCUAAUACAUGCAAGUCGAGCGGUAAGGCCCUUCGGGGUACACGAGCGGCGGACGGCUGAGUAACACGUAGGAACGUACCCCAAAGUGAGGGAUAAGCACCAGAAAUGGUGUCUAAUACCGCAUGUGCUCUAAGGAGUAAAGCUCCGGCGCUUUGGGAACGGCCUGCGCAUGAUUAGCUAGAUGGUGAGGUAAUGGCUCACCAUGGCGACGAUCAUUAGCUGGUCUGAGAGGAUGAUCAGCCAGACUGGGACUGAGACACGGCCCAGACUCCUACGGGAGGCAGCAGUAGGGAAUUUUCCACAAUGGGCGAAAGCCUGAUGGAGCAACGCCGCGUGCAGGAUGAAUGCCUUCGGGUUGUAAACUGCUUUUAUAUGUGACGAAUAUGACGGUAGCAUAUGAAUAAGGAUCGGCUAACUCCGUGCCAGCAGCCGCGGUCAUACGGAGGAUCCAAGCGUUAUCCGGAAUUACUGGGCGUAAAGAGUUGCGUAGGCGGCAUAGUAAGCAGAUAGUGAAAGCGUGUGGCUCAACCAUACUCACAUUAUCUGAACUGCUAAGCUAGAGGACGAGAGAGGUCACUGGAAUUCCUAGUGUAGGAGUGAAAUCCGUAGAUAUUAGGAGGAACACCAAUGGCGUAGGCAGGUGACUGGCUCGUUCCUGACGCUCAGGCACGAAAGCGUGGGGAGCGAACCGGAUUAGAUACCCGGGUAGUCCACGCCGUAAACGAUGGAUACUAGCUGUCGGGGGUAUCGACCCCCUC